CACAGACACACAUGAGGAGUUUAGGAGCAGAGGUGUAAUAGGCAGAAGACAGAGAAAGGAGAACAGUUCUCUCUCUAGUGAGAGAGAAGUGCUGCCGAGAGGAAAGACUGGUUGGCAGCAGAGUUCACCGGAUUUUAUAGGCAGGCUUGAGAAGGCAGUGUCUGAUUUACAUAGCGCUCACAGAUUGGUUCAACCUGGUGUGACGUUUACACGGCAUGCGGAGAAGGCUGGUCACCCCCUACCAUCCUGCCUGUCUUAUUAUGAAAAUGGGCUUUCAACUUGGCUGGUGCUAUCUUGCCAUCUCCUUUGGCUGGCAAAGGGAAGGGAAGAUGGAGCUGCCAUUUUGAACAUGCCUAGUCCCAGAGAGUUCUUUCCUACUGGGAUUCACCCCUGCAAGCUUUCAGUUUGCUUGACUGUGUCUGCAGCUUGAUUUUACAGGCUGUUAGUUGUUAGAAAAUGAUUUGGGUCUGCUUUUCAUUAAAAAGAAAAAUCCUACCGAGGACGCCAGUACCCUCACUAUCUGUCUAAGUAACUUCUUCUUAAUUCCUGUAUCAAUAGGAGUCAAGAGUAAAAUAAGAGAGACUAGACUGCUAUCCAACCAGUGAGAAAGGAGCAUGGUUUAUUCUAGGGUAUUGGCAGUGGAAAUAGAAAGAAGGAAACAGAGAAAGAAUUUGUCUUAAUACCAAAUUUUAUCUCACGGGUGAUAAAAGAACAGAGGAUUCAAGGAUAACUCCUAGACUUUUCGGCUUAGAUAACUGUAAACGGUAGUCCCUCCUAAGGGAGACAAGGGAGGAGCAUGUUUGAGGUGAAAGUCAUGAGUUUCAUUUCGAAUGUGAAGUUUGAAAUACCUAUCAGACCUUCACAUUAAAGCAUAAAGCACAAAGUUAUAUAUGUGAAGAAGGACAAGAGAUAGAAAUAUAAGAUUCAUGGACGUCGAUGGUAUAUAAAGCUGUGGAGAUCGCCUAAGAGAGAAAAAAGAGAAGGGGGCUCAGGCUGCAGUUGCUAGACUUCUCUGGCUAAUUCACCAUGCCUCUAUGCAUAUCAGAUUCCCUGUCAGUUCACUGCAGGCAAAGCAAUAAGGAUACAUCCUGUCUCAGGCUGGAAGGAUGUAGGACUCAUACUCUUCCUUUUGCUUCAUUCUUGUUUCCCUGCAUUUCUGGCAGGUAAGGAGAUAUUUUUAUUCUUUUCCCUAAUAGAUUCUCAAAAGAGAUCAAAUGAUUGCUGAGGGCUUCCUGGAGCAAGAGAAACAAUCAUUCUUAGCUCACAGUUCAACUUUCCUUCCAUUGAAUCCCACAUGUCCCCCUGCAGAUAAAGCUUCAGAAAGAGCCUUAUUCAUUUUCCUUUCACAAUGUUCAUGAUAGUAGGGCCAGCAAUGUUGCUAACCUCUUUAUGUAAACCCAAUAAAUUUGAUUUGACAUUUGAGCAGAGAAGUAAACAGGCACAAAACCGUAUCUACCAGCCACAUAAUCAUAUCUGAAAAUCCAGUUUCGACAUCAAGAUUUAAGAGAACCCAGCAGGUCUUUUUGUCAAUGAAUCCACAAGUAUUUGCCGGGUGCCCUUGAGGUGCCUGGUACUGGAUGCAGCUGCUUUUGUGAGCAAGCCAGCAGGUUCUCUGCCUUGAAAAUAGAAAUUUAAUCACUUGUCCAUCCAAGCAUUUCCCUUCAGCUUUCCCAGGAUGCUUUUUGUGAAUGACUAACAGAAUAGCUUCUGCAAAGACAGCCUGCAAAUCCCAGCCGGAGGCCCUGGGAGGAAAGAUGACUCAACCACGCCUGACGUCAAAGCCUCCCUUUCUUUCAGAGGAGUAGGAAGAGAAUGGCAAUGGCCUGGGUAGAAUGACCUAAAUGCCCUCCCGAGUCCUGUCCUGACAAGUCCAAGAUCAAGUUGCUGACAGCUUUCGUGCCUGGUGAAAGCCUUCUUUCUGGUUGGAGCCUGCACAGCUAAUUCACCAGUGAAACCUAAAUUGUUUAUGAACAUUAUGAAUGGGCUAUUUACCUCUGAAGUCCUGAUGCAAGUCAUAUGUCUGGCUACUCCAGCACCUACUAAUCACUCAGUUCUUUGAAUUUUUAUGGCAUAAUAGUCCUUAUCCCUCCUUUGGGCAUUUUUGGAUAUAUUAACUUUUCAUUGCAUCUUACAAUUGUUUUGCAGCUGUUGAGGGUGAUAGAUAAACUUACCUAAUCGUCAUCUUAAUUUUUGCUUUGUUUUUUAUUUCCGAGUACCCAUCGUAAUGCCCUACACUAAAGGUUCAGCCAGUAAGAGUUUAUUAGGUUGAAUUGAACUUACAUUUUUGUAACUCUUGGAACUAUAGUCUAAUGGGAUAAAUUUAAUGGUAACAUUUCAGAUGUUACAGCAGAUGAGCAGCAAAGGUAAUUUGGGAUUAGAAGGGCUUUUGGAACCCCCGAACCUAGCCACAUAUAUGCUAUUGAUGUGGAAUGCUGGCCCUAAUUACUCUGAUGCUGGUCCUGCCCCAGUUCAGGUCUCCGUGUAAUAUUAUCACCCAAACUCACUCAGGACUGUUCAGUAACAGGAAACCAAUUACAAGGUACCAAAUUAGAAUGCGAGAAGGACUUGGCCUAUGAACUCUUACACCAGCAGAGGGCACUUCCUUCUAGCAUGCAAGUCUGCUAAGGAAAGCAAAUUAGAAUGAGAAGAUGCCUGAAGACUGCUGGACACAAGUUACACAGAGAUGUUUUCCAAUCAGCUAUGGAAAGCAAAAGAAUGGCCCUUUCCGUCUCCAGAUGGAUAAAACUUUGCUCACUUGGAAUUGGAAUCCCAGUCCUUUGGGAAAUGCUUAGAGUGAACUGAUAAACUCUUAUUCUCUGACUCCCUUUCUAAAGUUUACGUAAACCUACAUCUUCUGAAUUCCAUAUUUUCAUCUUAUUUUAGAUCUCCCUGUCUUUCCCCCUUGUCCUUAGGGGGAUAUCCCUGUACUGUUAUUAUUGUUAGUCUUACUGAGACUCUGCCUGUUUCUAUCUUGGGGAAAAUUUCAAUCACAUGUCUGAUAACCUUUUAACUCUUUCUGAUAUUCAACCUGGAGUCUCCCAAAUUUGGGUGUACACCAAGAAAGUGAGGGAUUUCUAGGAGUUCAUGCUAAACAGAUUCAAACUCCAGGCAUCUAUUGGGGAAAAAAAGGCGGUAUUAUAAAUAAGUAUUGUGGAUCAGAAAUAGGCAGAUUGUUCUUGGUUAUGAUAAUAUAGAGGAUUAUAAUUUAGGUGCAAAGAAUCCACAAAUGAAGCAUGGGGUAAGUGUUGGAGGCAUGAUGGCACUUCAGUUUUAGUUGUGUGGAACUCAACGUGUGAUGGUAGCAAUAAUUAUCCCAAUUACAAAAAACCUGAGGUACAGAGGUUAAAUAACUUGAGUAAUAUCACAGCUUAUGAUAAAGCUGAGAUUUGGACUAAGUUCAGUCUGGCUGAGAAGUUUCUCUGCACUUCCCGCUGUUAUCUUGGGCCCAAGUGUUGCUGCCUCUCAACUCCAGGAAUCAGCAAAUGUAUUUCCACGGACUAGCUGUUUGUUUUCAGUAGGUUUUUCAUCGGUCAACAGUGGUUUCAAAGUAGAAUAAGAAAAGUGAGGGUUAUCUGCAUGAAAUAUAUCUUCCAUUUUCUUGAAUGUCUUCGUCUCUUGUAUGUUUACUUCCUUAUUCCAUUCCUGAAAUAAAUCAAGUCAAAUAAACUUUGCAACAUGGUGUGUAUAAACUGAUCUUUCUACCACCUUGAAUGAAUUUUCAUUUUUGGCCCCACCAUGUGUCCAGCGUACUUCCCACUGUGCUUUAUCUCAUUCUUCUUUUCUCAGAGGUCUGAAUGGCAACUCUUUAGGGCCCUUCUCUUAGUCCUGAAACUCCUCAGAGGCUCAGACCACCCCUGGAAGGUUCCUGCUCCAAGUUUCUAGUUUCCAAUAAUCCCAGCAUCUUGCCUUUGUGUCCUAAAAGUGACAACUGCUUUAUGCUGUCAGUACCUCUGUGAUACAUCAGGAUUCCCUUUUAGCUAUUUAAGUUCCCUAUCCUGGGCCAGCCAUGGUGGCUCAUGCCUGUAGUUCCAG